GGACUUACUACUGUUAAAAACAUUGUGUAUUUGAUUGUUCCUGUACAAUAAAACCACAAAAGUCACCAAAAUAAACAUUUUUAGUCCUGUUUCUAUAAGUUAAAACAUACUAGUUACCUGGGUGGCCAGUCUCACAUCCCUACAAGUUGUCUGUGAACAUCACAAUCCCUUUCAGCUUCAUACAGGAAUAGGCUGCUUCUAAAGUCAUCAAUGUGAUGCCAGACAAUUGAGCAUUAGCUGGAGACAUCAGAUUAGUCCCCUGAGGGCCUGAGCAUGAAAUGCUCAAACGAUGGCAGUUGACUUCUAUAAGGUCAGAUUACAACAGCUUAAUAGGAGGGAAGUCAUUGUAUUUUUGUAACCAUGUGCAUGUCAUAAUGUUUCCAUUUCUUCACUACACAUUCUAAUAAACAAUGUGAUAUUUUAGAUCAUCAUAGUUUUAACUUAAAGUUUUCUAAGAAUUGUGAUGACUAUUCUUUUUUUCUUUUGGGGGGAUUUUUCUUUAUUUACAUUUAAAAUGUUAACCCCUUUCCAGGUCUCCCCUCUAGAAACCUCCUAUCCCAUCCCCUUCUCCCUGCCUCUAUGAGGAUGUUCCCCCACUGUGAUGGUUUGUAUGUUCUUGGACCAGGGAGUGGCACCAUUUGGAGGAGUGGCCUUCUUGGAAUAUGUGUGACCUGGUUGGAGUAGG
rnacentral:lncRNA from 1 species